GAUGAAGAACGUAGCGAAAUGCGAUACGUAAUGUGAAUUGCAGAAUUCAGUGAAUCAUCGAGUCUUUGAACGCACAUUGCGCCCCCUGGUAUUCCGGGGGGCAUGCCUGUCCGAGCGUCAUUGCUGCCCUCAAGCCCGGCUUGUGUGUUGGGUCUCGUCCCCCUUCCCGGGGGGACGGGCCCGAAAGGCAGCGGCGGCACCGUGUCCGGUCCUCGAGCGUAUGGGGCUUGUCACCCGCUCUGUAGGCCCGGCCGGCGCUUGCCGAUCAACCAAAACUUUUUUCCAGGUUGACCUCGGAUCAGGUAGGGAUACCCGCUGAACUUAAGCAUAUCAAUAAGCGGAGGA
rnacentral:misc_RNA from 1 species